AGCGAACGCUGGCGGCAGGCUUAACACAUGCAAGUCGAACGCAUCACUUCGGUGGUGAGUGGCAGACGGGUGAGUAACACGUGGGAACGUACCCUUCGAUCUGGGAUAACUUCGGGAAACUGGAGCUAAUACCGGAUACGCCCUUUUGGGGAAAGGUUUACUGUCGAAGGAUCGGCCCGCGUCUGAUUAGCUAGUUGGUGGGGUAACGGCCUACCAAGGCGACGAUCAGUAGCUGGUCUGAGAGGAUGAUCAGCCACACUGGGACUGAGACGCGGCCCAGACUCCUACGGGAGGCAGCAGUGGGGAAUAUUGGACAAUGGGCGCAAGCCUGAUCCAGCCAUGCCGCGUGAGUGAUGAAGGCCUUAGGGUUGUAAAGCUCUUUUGUCCGGGACGAUAAUGACGGUACCGGAAGAAUAAGCCCCGGCUAACUUCGUG
rnacentral:rRNA from 1 species